rnacentral:rRNA from 1 species
AUUUCUUCGGAUUGAAGCAACUGUGACUGAGCGGCGGACGGGUGAGUAACGCGUGGGUAACCUGCCUUAUACAGGGAGAUAACAGUUGGAAACGGCUGCUAAUACCGCAUAAGCGCACAGUACCGCAUGGUACAGUGUGAAAAACUCCGGUGGUGUGAGAUGGACCCGCGUCUGAUUAGCCAGUUGGCAGGGUAACGGCCCACCAUGGCGACGAUCGGUAGCCGGACUGAGAGGGUGACCGGCCACAUUGGGACUGAGACACGGCCCAAACUCC